rnacentral:rRNA from 1 species
CCUACGGGGGGCAGCAGUCGAGAAUCAUUCACAAUGGGGGAAACCCUGAUGGUGCGACGCCGCGUGGGGGAAUGAAGGUCUUCGGAUUGUAAACCCCUGUCAUGUGGGAGCAAAUUAAAAAGAUAGUACCACAAGAGGAAGAGACGGCUAACUCUGUGCCAGCAGCCGCGGUAAUACAGAGGUCUCAAGCGUUGUUCGGAAUCACUGGGCGUAAAGCGUGCGUAGGCUGUUUCGUAAGUCGUGUGUGAAAGGCGCGGGCUCAACCCGCGGACGGCACAUGAUACUGCGAGACUAGAGUAAUGGAGGGGGAACCGGAAUUCUCGGUGUAGCAGGGAAAUGCGUAGAUAUGGAGAGGAACACUCGUGGCGAAGGCGGGUUGCUGGACAUUAACUGACGCUGAGGCACGAAGGCCAGGGGAGCGAAAGGGAUUAGAUACCCUUGUAGUC